GACAAGCCAUGCUGCUCUCACAGUACACACCUUGUUUUCACACAGCGAAAAAUUCAUCGUGGACCAAAGAAGAAACUGACAACACACUGGCAGAAGAAGACAGAGAAGGUCACUUCUGAUCCAUCAAAAUCCUCAUCUUCUGUGUCUGAAUUGAACAGCUUUCGCCAUCAAACAUGCCGGGUUCCCUCUCAUCAUGGUUGAUCGCUGCCAGCAUACGUAGUCCUCGCGUGUGGAGACUUCAGAAGAUGCCAGACCUCACAAAGAUUUCAGAUGAUGGAAACUAUAGAUGAACAUGCAAAGCUGCUAAAUAAUUCUUAUAUUGUAAUCAUUGCCCUAAAAGGUAAGUUUGCAGGCUGAUUUAAGGUGUGCUCCUACAUUUUCUGCUUGUACUCCUAUGUAUUUAUGAUACAAAUGUAAAUGACUGUAAAUGAACAUAAAAAGCUGUUGCAUGCCUUUCUCAUAAGCACUCGCCCGUUAGCAAUGCUUAUUUUAUUUAACAAUGUUAUUACUGAGAUCAUUAAAAAAGUAAUUGUGACGAGUGGGGUGGGGCCGAGAGCCUUGGGAAAGGAGCGAGGCGGGUGGAGUGAUUGGGAAAUGAGUAGGGAUGGGUAGUUCCAUUUUAGAACCGGUUCCAAAUUUCCAAGAACCAGGUAUUCGAUAAGACGCGUGCAUUUCGAUUCUGCUUAACUAUUCCAGUGUUCGAAUUCCAAUUUGAUUAAAAACGAUUAAGUGCAGGAACGGAAAGAAUUUGCGCCCUGUUUUUGUGCAGCGUGCAUGAAGAGCAAGCGCGUCCAUAGAGAGCAGCGGUCGUGCUGCGGGUUCUCGGUUUGUGUCCGUUCUUGUACUGUUCCGUGUAUUUCCACUGUAGAAAAGGUUGUUCAGAGUCGAAACUGACUUCUUUCAUAUUUGUCGACCAAUACACCGAAAACUACAUCAGUAUAUCAUCACAAACAUAGCAGUUUUUGUCUUACGUGAACGUGAACAGAUG